rnacentral:lncRNA from 1 species
AUGACCUUCAUUCUCUUGGCCAAAGGCAGUCAUCGAGGGGAUUGUGGUGGAAGAAUGACACGGCUGGGGAGGAAUUGUUGGAAGUGUCUUAUGAAGCAUUUAAAGAAAGUCGAAAACAAGAUGAGUUUGGCUUUUGAAAGUAAGAAUAGAAUUAAGAGUCUUGUAUACAGAAGCAAGAGCUUUAAGCUGCAAAGAGCAUUCAUCCCAAAAUCUGGCUUCUCAGUUUCGAGUCUAAG